GAUCCUGGCUCAGGAUGAACGCUAGCUACAGGCUUAACACAUGCAAGUCGAGGGGCAGCAUGGUCUUAGCUUGCUAAGGCCGAUGGCGACCGGCGCACGGGUGAGUAACACGUAUCCAACCUGCCGUCUACUCUUGGACAGCCUUCUGAAAGGAAGAUUAAUACAAGAUGGCAUCAUGAGUCCGCAUGUUCACAUGAUUAAAGGUAUUCCGGUANCGAUGGGG
rnacentral:rRNA from 1 species